GUGAAUCAUCGAAUUUUUGAACGCAAAUUGCACUUUCUGGCAUCCCGGGGAGUAUGCCUGUUUGAGGGUCAGUAUUAAUAAAAAAUGGGGUUAGUUAUAAAUUGUGUGGUUUCCGAAGUUUGGUGGAUCUUAACAUUUUUGGUUAAGAGACUUAAAAUUUAGCUUUAUUUUUUUUUAUUGUAUGUAAAUAAAUUUAUGUUAUUUUUCGAUACUUAAUGCCAAAUGUUUAUAUGAUGA
rnacentral:misc_RNA from 1 species